UCAGCUGUGUUUGAGUGCCAAAAAGAAAACGCGGGGAAAGGCUUGUGGAAAGUGGAAAGCAGCGAGAGUGGAAGGCGUCUGCUGGGAAGAGAGGCUGGAGUUCCCCCUCCCCCCUGUCCACCGGUUCCUGAGGCGGCCUGGAUUGCCAAAAAACUUUUGGGCGUCCGGGGCCUAGUGGAGCCGAAGCCAGGAACGAUCCGGGAUACCUGACACGCUUAACCGGCUUAAAAGGAUAAUUUAGCGGAGCGCGGUGAAAAACACAACUUCCUCCGAAUUUCCUUGUCAUUAUUUUUUCCACGUGUUCCUGCCACUUUUCCCAUUCAUCGCCCCCCUCCUGCUGAUGCCAUUUCCUUUCCGUAGUUGGCAAGGUCUAAAGUUACGUUCGUCUCUAUUGAUUUUCCAUAAUGAGGCUUAUUUUGGCCCAACUCCCCAGCGGAGCCAUCGAAUUUCAUUGCAAAAUCACUGCAGGGAAAGUGAUGGCCAGGAGGGGGUAGAUUUCGGCCGGGAAUUGGAAUUCGUAGUCAUCGAAGUCGUAGUCGUAGUCAUAGUCUUAUUCCUGGCUGUCAUGGCUGAUUGCCAAACAAACAGAUACGCACACACAUACGCGUGAGGAGGCGAGACCCAGGCGAAGCAAUUUUAUUGUCAUCAUUUAUACAUACAGUGGGACAUUGCUAAGGAGAGUCCUUGCUAGGCCAAGGAAGUGUCUCUAGUCAUAGCGACCUGUAUAGGUAUAGGUAACUUGUCAACUCUGGAGAUUUGAAAUCAUUUUAAAGAAUACAAUUUUCUAGUAUAUUUUCUUAAAAGGGUUUUCAAAUUAAAAGCAUUUUGUGGAACUUAAUGAAGUAUUUAAUGUUGAAAUUAUAAAUUAAAGAUAAAUAUAUGGUUAUCACACAACGAAUUUGUCUUGUAAAUACAAUAGCCUUUAUUUUGUUACUUUCCCCAACAAGGACAGUCCCGAACUGGUCUGUUGCUGUCAAGUCAAUCCUGACAUUAUGAGUUCUACUCCAUCAGCAGCAAUAUAUAUAACAUAUAUGCAUUGAGACAUGCUGCUACCUUUGAUGGAUUUUUCAAUUUAUUAUCUGCUUAUCAGCUUUUAAUUAAUGAUAGUAGCGGGGGGAAUCUUGGUUAAUAUUUAUGACUACAAAUAAUUUGGCAAGUUUGGUGCGGCUCAACUUUAAUUUGCAAAGCGAUAAAUAACGAAUGACCAAUGAAAGUCGCAAAGAAAAUCCCCAGAAAUUCCCUUUCCGAAUUCCGGAAUCCGAAAUGCGGAUAGCCGUAAAAUGAAAGUGAAAAGAAAAGUGGAAAAGUGGCCGGAGCAACAACUGCAAAAAGUGCUGAACGCAGACAAAGUACAAAUUGCCCACAAAAAUAUAAAAACGAGCCAGGAGCAGGAGCAGAUGGAAAGGACGAGAAGGAAGAAAGUUCAAUUUACUACUUUUCACUUUAGCAUACAUUCCAACCCCCACACACACACACACGUAUAGUAAUUCAAAGGACACCCUCGCUUGAGAUGGCCAGCUGGUUUGGCUUGGAAAUUGGAGAACAGACCGCCACAGCAUCCCGCACACACACACACACACAUGGCCUCCCGUCCCCAGUUAUCCUGGCAACCUUAUCCUUGCUCCGGCACUCCCCCAAAAACUUUGCCUUUUUGCGUUAAAUUUUUCUUUUUAUUUUGGAAUUUCGUUCGAUAGCCGCCCCACUCUCACAUACAUACAUACUCACGCAGGAUACAUAUAUCCUGCACACACACACACACACACAUGAAUGA